AACCUGGUUGAUCCUGCCAGUAGUCAUAUGCUUGUCUCAAAGAUUAAGCCAUGCAUGUCUAAGUAUAAAUGGUAUACAAUGAAACUGCGAAUGGCUCAUUAAAACAGUUAUAGUUUAUUUGGUAAUCAAACUUACAUGGAUAACCGUGGUAAUUCUAGAGCUAAUACAUGCUGUUGUGCCCGACUCACGAAGGGCCGUAUUUAUUAGAUAUCAGCCAAUAAGCAUCUGCUAUUGUGGUGACUCAUAGUAACUUAAUCGGAUCGCAUGGGCUUGUCCCGCGACAAACCAUUCAAGUUUCUGCCCCAUCAUGCUUUCGAUGGUAGUGUAUUGGACUACCAUGGCUUUCACGGGUAACGGAGGAUUAGGGUUCGAUUCCGGAGAGGGAGCCUGAGAAACGGCUACCACUUCCACGGAAGGCAGCAGGCGCGUAAAUUACCCAAUCCUGAUUCAGGGAGGUAGUGACAAGAAAUAAUGGGUCGGGGUUCUGCCCCGGGACUGCAAUGAGACGAAUUUAGACCCCUUAUCGAGGACCAAUUGGAGGGCAAGUCUGGUGCCAGCAGCCGCGGUAAUUCCAGCUCCAAUAGCGUAUAUUAAAGUUGUUGCAGUUAAAAAGCUCGUAGUUGGAUUUCUGGUAGUGGGCAAGAGCUCUCUGAUGAUGCUCGCGUUCAUUGCCAUCCUUCUGUUAACCUAUCAGGGCAUUCUAUUGUCAGUUAGGGGCUCAGAUAUUUUACCUUGAGAAAAUUAGAGUGUUUCAGGCAGGCUUGUGCCCGAAUACAUUAGCAUGGAAUAAUGGAAUAGGACUUUAGCCUCUUCUGUUGGUCUGAGGGGUUGAAGUAAUGAUUAAUAGGGAUAGUUGGGGGCAUUAGUACUUAACUGUCAGAGGUGAAAUUCUCGGAUUUGUUAAAGACUAACUUAUGCGAAAGCAUUUGCCAAGGAUGUUUUCAUUAAUCAAGAACGAAAGUUAGGGGAUCAAAGACGAUCAGAUACCGUCCUAGUCUUAACCAUAAACUAUGCCGACUCGGGAUCGGGGGCCAGAGAUAACUGCCUUCGGCACCGUAUGAGAAAUCAAAGUCUUUGGGUUCUGGGGGGAGUAUGGUCGCAAGGCUGAAACUUAAAGGAAUUGACGGAAGGGCACCACCAGGCGCGGAGCUUGCGGCUCAAUUUGACUCAACACGGGGAAACUUACCAGGUCCAGACAUAGUGAGGAUUGACAGAUUGAUAGCUCUUUCUUGAUUCUGUGGGUGGUGGUGCAUGGCCGUUCUUAGUUGGUGGAGUGAUUUGUCUGGUUAAUUCCGUUAACGAACGAGACCUUAGCCUACUAAAUAGUCGCAACAAUUUCGAUUGGCUGCGACUUCUUAGAGGGACUUUGCAAGCAACUGCAAGGAAGUUUGAGGCAAUAACAGGUCUGUGAUGCCCUUAGAUGUCCUGGGCCGCACGCGUGCUACACUGACGCAUACAGCGAGCAUCACCAGCUCCGUGAGGCUGCUGGUAAUCAGCAAUAUGCGUCGUGCUGGGGAUAGAUCUUUGGAAUUUUUGAUCUUGAGCGAGGAAUGCCUAGUAAGCGCAGGUCAUCAGCCUGCGUUGAUUAAGUCCCUGCCCUUUGUACACACCGCCCGUCGCUCCUACCGAUUUCGAGUGGUCCGGUGAACCCUUUGGACCGAGAACGCCUCGUGUGCUUUUGGAAAGUCGAGUAAACCACAUCACUUAGAGGAAGGACAAGUCGUAACAAGGUUUCCGUAGGUGAACCUGCAGAAGGAUCA
rnacentral:rRNA from 1 species